AGUGAACGCUGGCGGUAGGCCUAACACAUGCAAGUCGAACGGCAGCACAGUAAGAGCUUGCUCUUACGGGUGGCGAGUGGCGGACGGGUGAGGAAUACAUCGGAAUCUACUUUUUCGUGGGGGAUAACUUAGUGAAACUUACGCUAAUACCGCAUACGACCUACGGGUGAAAGCAGGGGAUCUUCGGACCUUGCGCGAUUGAAUGAGCCGAUGUCGGAUUAGCUAGUUGGCGGGGUAAAGGCCCACCAAGGCGACGAUCCGUAGCUGGUCUGAAAGGAUGAUCAACCACACUGGAACUGAGACAAGGACCAGACUCCUACGGAAGGCAGCAGUGGGGAAUAUUAGACAAUGGGCGCAAGCCUGAUCCAGCCAUACCGCGUGGGUGAAGAAGGCCUUCGGGUUGUAAAGCACUUUUGUUGGGAAAGAAAAGCAGCAGGUUAAUACCCCGCUGUUCUGACGGUACCCAAAGAAUAAGCACAGGCUAACUUCGUG
rnacentral:rRNA from 1 species